CCUGGCUCAGGAUGAACGCUAGCUACAGGCUUAACACAUGCAAGUCGAGGGGCAGCAUGGUCUUAGCUUGCUAAGGCCGAUGGCGACCGGCGCACGGGUGAGUAACGCGUAUCCAACCUGCCUUACACUCUUGGACAGCCUUCUGAAAGGGAGAUUAAUACAAGAUGUUAUCAUGAGUAAGCAUUUUCGCAUGAUUAAAGGUUUACCGGUGUAAGAUGGGGAUGCGUUCCAUUAGAUAGUAGGCGGGGUAACGGCCCACCUAGUCUUCGAUGGAUAGGGGUUCUGAGAGGAAGGUCCCCCACAUUGGAACUGAGACACGGUCCAAACUCCUACGGGAGGCAGCAGUGAGGAAUAUUGGUCAAUGGACGAGAGUCUGAACCAGCCAAGUAGCGUGAAGGAUGAAGGUUCUAUGGAUUGUAAACUUCUUUUAUACGGGAAUAAACGAAUCCACGUGUGGAUUUUUGCAUGUACCGUAUGAAUAAGGAUCGGCUAACUCCGUGCCAGCAGCCGCGGUAAUACGGAGGAUCCGAGCGUUAUCCGGAUUUAUUGGUUUAAAGGGAGCGUAGAUGGGUUGUUAAGUCAGUUGUGAAAGUUUGCGGCUCAACCGUAAAAUUGCAAUUGAUACUGGCAGUCUUGAGUACAGUUGAGGUAGGCGGAAUUCGUGGUGUAGCGGUGAAAUGCUUAGAUAUCACGAAGAACUCCGAUUGCGAAGGCAGCUUACUAACCUGUAACUGACAUUGAUGCUCGAAAGUGUGGGUAUCAAACAGGAUUAGAUACCCUGGUAGUCCACACGGUAAACGAUGAAUACUCGCUGUAGGCGAUAUACAGUCUGCGGCCAAGCGAAAGCAUUAAGUAUUCCACCUGGGGAGUACGCCGGCAACGGUGAAACUCAAAGGAAUUGACGGGGGCCCGCACAAGCGGAGGAACAUGUGGUUUAAUUCGAUGAUACGCGAGGAACCUUACCCGGGCUUAAAUUGCAACCGAAUAUGGCGGAAACGCUAUAGCUAGCAAUAGCGGUUGUGAAGGUGCUGCAUGGUUGUCGUCAGCUCGUGCCGUGAGGUGUCGGCUUAAGUGCCAUAACGAGCGCAACCCUUGCCGAUAGUUACUAACAGGUCAUGCUGAGGACUCUGUCGGGACUGCCAUCGUAAGAUGUGAGGAAGGUGGGGAUGACGUCAAAUCAGCACGGCCCUUACGUCCGGGGCUACACACGUGUUACAAUGGGGGGUACAGAGGGCUGCUACCACGCAAGUGGAUGCCAAUCCCAAAAACCUCUCUCAGUUCGGAUUGAAGUCUGCAACCCGACUUCAUGAAGCUGGAUUCGCUAGUAAUCGCGCAUCAGCCACGGCGCGGUGAAUACGUUCCCAGGCCUGUACACACCGCC
rnacentral:rRNA from 1 species